UCAGCUGUUUAUUAAUCUGUAACUUCCUGUUAAGAUGCAGGGUGUGCUUUUUAAAGAACCCUUACACAGCAUGAAUUUUAUUUUGGGACUGGCUGUGCUAAUAUAUAAAGAGGAUCUGUGAAAGUUACUUAGUCCUGUAAACCAUUUUCUCUUAGCAAAAUUUUGUGGGCACAUACCAUGUGCAGGAAUAAAUGAGAUAGACUCAGCUUCCAGAAGUUUACCACUGAUUCCAAGGAGACAAGUGUAAUAAAGUGUGGUGAAAGAUUAUCCUGAUGUUGCAAUGAGAAGUGCAAUGAGAAAUUUUCUUCAAAAACACUGGAACUUUCAUGGAAAUAAUUAAGCUGAUUAUUGGAUUUGAUGCAUUUUUGUGUGAUCAACUAACAAUUUUUUAAAAAUGACUUGCUUAUGCAAAAUAAUUUACAUAACAUUAAUCAAAAUAACUGGAAAUCCUUUACAAAAUGUGUUGCAAAAUCAAAUAAAUAAACCAGAAACAAAUACUA